AGGCGGCGGAGGGGCGAAAAGGCUGCCGUCCCCAUGCAAAUCGUUUGGGAAAACAGUGCACCGCCCUCCGUUAAUUCCCCUGAUUAAAACCGCAUUAGUCUGUAGGUGUCAGGGACGGGCAGCUGUUUCCAAGGAAGCCCUGGCUCCACCAGGUCCUUCCUCGGCGGGCAGAGGCGGCUCUAUCUGAGAUUCAGUACAGUGAAAACAGAUCCUGAACAAUCUUAGCUCAGGCUGAGCAACGACAAAUUUGUCUUAAUUGGCCAGUGAAAGCUCAUGGCAUUGCUUCUGUUCCCAGCAUCAGAUUUCAUUCAACAAAGUCAAUGAGACACAUCCAUGUACUUAGAGUUGCAGUUGCCAUACCCCAGAGCGGCUGGACAAGCCUGGUCUUCUAUCACUCCCAGAGACGAAAAAGAUGCUGGGCUGUGCUGCUUGCAGAUCUCU